AUUGAACGCUGGCGGCAGGCCUAACACAUGCAAGUCGAGCGAGCGGCGGACGGGUGAGUAAUGUCUGGGAAACUGCCUGAUGGAGGGGGAUAACUACUGGAAACGGUAGCUAAUACCGCAUACCAUCAGCUUUGCCCAGAUGGGAUUAGCUAGUAGGUGGGGUAACGGCUCACCUAGGCGACGAUCCCUAGCUGGUCUGAGAGGGUGACCAGCCACAGUGGAACUGAGACACGGUCCAGAGUCCUACGGGAGGCAGCAGUGGGGAAUAUUGGACAAUGGACGCAAGCCUGAUGGAGCCAUGCCGCUUGUGUGAAGAAGGCCUUCGGGUUGUAAAGCACUUUCAGCGGGGAGGCGUUACCCGCAGAAGAAGCACCGGCUAACUCCGUGCCAGCAGCCGCGGUAAUUC
rnacentral:rRNA from 1 species